UAUCUUGACUUUCCCGCUUUUUCCCGCUAUAAUAACACCGUCGCUUCGGCGAAGAUGACACUGAUUGGGUUGUGCAAUAGGUCUUUUGGACUGGGGGGCGGUACCCCACAGCUCCACCAAUAAAAAACCGUAGGUUGUGGAUUUAGGCCCAUGACCGUAUUACGGGGCUGACAUAGAUUCGACAGGGAUUGAAAGACAGCGCUUGUGUUCCGGAGUGGUUUCCGCAAAAUCCGUUAAAACGACUGCUAAAAACAUUCCUGCGAACGACAACGUUCGCCUUGCGAUGGCCGCCUAACCAGGCUUGACGCGGAUGCCGAUUGGUUGAAACGUCGUCAUGGUCAUCACGGGGUCCGCCCGAACCCGGCAACAGAAUCGGGCAAAA
rnacentral:tmRNA from 1 species